UUUCUUUUCUUUUUUUUUAAAAUUCUGCUUAAAUUACAGGUAAUAGAACAAAUGCUAUAAUAUAUACAUGUCUUAUUAAUAAAUAAACAGCUAAAUAAAGAUAAUGAUGAAUGAUGUUUUGUAUUGCAAUAAUUAAAAUUGCAGGGAAAUGUGCUUACUUUUCAUGAAAAUAAUGUAACAAGCAAAAAAAAAUCUACGGGGUAAUAUAUAUGAUAUGACCCGGACACAUUCUUGACAAGUUUAAUGAGAUUUAUCCGAAUAUUAUUGAUUUUUCCUGUUAACACUGGGCUAUUAGUCCAAAAUGUCUACUGAAUAUGAAUUGUUUUUUUCAUCCUAUUAGUUGUCAGUGGAAAAAUGAAUGUACUACCACACUGCGUACGCACUGACAGUCAUGGACUGUAUUUUUACUGGAACAAAGAAUGUUAUGAAAAGUGACUAUAUAUACAGAGCCAUAUUUUUCUAUUAUGACUGUCUGUAGUGUUUGGCUGUGUGGGAUAGCGUGUGCACUACCUGUCUUAUGCAUUAAAAGAGCAUGAAUGUCAAAGCUUGCAGUUGCAAAAAUGGCCACGCAUCUUUGCACCCCAGUGAUAUGCUGAGCUACUGUAAAUACAACAUGCCAUGUAAUGGGUUCAAAACUGAUCAAUCAUGUAUUGUUUGAUUGCAUUUUUUCAUUGUAACCGCUGUCGGUGAAAGUUAAAACCGUUAGUUCUGGAGAGAAAGAAAUGUAAAUUUUUGUACACAGAAAUGACACUAUAUUUAAUUUUUUAUGUGGUUGAGCUAAAAUAUAUUGAUAAUGCAUUAAUAUUUGUCUGAGAUUUGUUUUGUUGUGUACACCUUCCUGUCACUAUGUUUGAAGCUACCAUAUGGCAUUUUUGAACACAGGAGAGCAUCAUUUUAAAUUAGGCAUUCCAGACAUACUGUGGUGGGGAUUUUUCAGCGACUCUUUCUGCACGCUACGUUGUUACGUCGGUAGGUGGCGACAAGUGAACGUCUGUCAGUGAAUCAAUCACUCAACCGAUUCGUUCAAAAACAAUGACUCAUUCAAGGACCAAACGUCACUACUGUGUAUUGCUUUGGACAGAUUAAUUCUGCUUUGAUGUCGCUGGCCUGAUGUCUAUAAAAUGUAAGAUGCUCAAUAUUACUAUUGAACUGAGUUUUUUUAAUCAGCAAUAUCACUAACAAUUGCGUUUUUAUUCAUAUGCCAGAUACGCUGCUGUUACGUAAAAC
rnacentral:lncRNA from 1 species